rnacentral:SRP_RNA from 1 species
AAACGGGUAAGUCCUACACGACCAGCUCCCUGAAAACUCCCCCAGAUCUUGACCGAAGCAAGGGUAUCAGGUUGUAGCGGUGCGAUGUAGUAAGCUUACCCU